rnacentral:rRNA from 2 species
UGGGGAAUAUUGCACAAUGGAGGGAACUCUGAUGCAGCGACGCCGCGUGAACGAAGAAGGCUUUCGAGUCGUAAAGUUCUUUUAUAUGGGAAGAUAAUGACGGUACCAUAAGAAAAAGCCCCGGCUAACUACGUGCCAGCAGCCGCGGUAAUACGUAGGGGGCUAGCGUUGUCCGGAAUCACUGGGCGUAAAGGGUUCGCAGGCGGAAAUGCAAGUCAGGUGUAAAAGGCAGUAGCUUAACUACUGUAAGCAUUUGAAACUGCAUAUCUUGAGAAGGGUAGAGGUAAGUGGAAUUUUUAGUGUAGCGGUGAAAUGCGUAGAUAUUAAAAAGAAUACCGGUGGCGAAGGCGACUUACUGGGCUCAUUCUGACGCUGAGGAACGAAAGCGUGGGUAGCAAACAGG